rnacentral:rRNA from 1 species
AACGAACGCUGGCGGCAGGCUUAACACAUGCAAGUCGAACGGUUGUAGCAAUACAGCAGUGGCGCACGGGUGAGUAACGCGUGGGAACGUGCCCUUCAGUACGGAACAACACCGGGAAACUGGUGCUAAUACCGUAUAUUCCCUUAGGGGGAAAGAUUUAUCGCUGAAGGAUCGGCCCGCGUUAGAUUAGCUAGUUGGUGGGGUAAUGGCCUACCAAGGCUCCGAUCUAUAGCUGGUCUGAGAGGAUGACCAGCCACACUGGAACUGAGACACGGUCCAGACUCCUACGGGAGGCAGCAGUGGGGAAUAUUGGACAAUGGGGGAAACCCUGAUCCAGCCAUGCCGCGUGAGUGAUGAAGGCCUUAAGGGUUGUAAAGCUCUUUGUCAGGGAGAUGAUGACGGUACCUGAAGAACAAGCACCGGCUAACUUCGUGCCAGCAGCCGCGGUAAU